rnacentral:lncRNA from 1 species
UUCUCCUUCAGGAUCAUUUUUCUCAACAUCCCAGCCCACUUAAUAUGUUGAGGUGUGGGAAUGGUGGGUCAGAAUAGAGGGGAGUAUUUUCUGAAGGGUCAUUUUAGAGCCUAUGUCAUUUAUUUACUUGUUUCCUGAUUCUUCAAAAGGUAGUGUCAGGACCUGAAUUCUGGGGUGUGACUCUUCUCCAGCUAAAGAACUGUUCUUUGGUGUAAAGGAUAGAAUUUCCUGAGGACCUCUGCUGUGUGGGCUGGCUGAAAUAGGUGGCAGUGAGGUUCCUGUAGAAAUAUGUAGAUAGUUGUUCACUUUGAAUUAAGAAAAAAAGACGCAAACUAUUCAUUUGGAUUCAAGGUCCAUCUCCAGUGGUGGCUGUAGUGGCCUUGUAGUGGCAGAUCAUCACCUUCAACAAGUCUGCACUCAGGAACUAUCAUCUUCGCUCAGACUAAGUGCCUCUGUCUUUUCUCUGUAUUGUUGACAGAGGUUCUGUGUUUGGAAAGGGGACUGUGUGACUGCUGAGCUGACGACUGACUUGCCACAAAGUUUAUGUCUGAUCCAGUGAAAGAGUGUUAAGACAUUGACCUGGGACACAUUGAAAACCAAGGCCAAGACUGUAUAGAGCUAUC